UACGGGGGGGGCAAGCGUUGUUCGGAAUUACUGGGCGUAAAGGGUUUGUAGGUGGUCUGUUAAGUCAGACGUGAAAUCCCUCAGCUUAACUGGGGAACUGCGUCUGAGACUGAUGGACUUGAGGGCAGGAGAGGAACGCGGAAUUCCAGGUGUAGCGGUGAAAUGCGUAGAUAUCUGGAGGAACACCGGUGGCGAAGGCGGCGUUCUGGACUGUUUCUGACACUGUAAAACGAAAGCCAGGGGAGCAAACGGG
rnacentral:rRNA from 1 species